UACGUAGGGACCAAGCGUUGUUCGGAUUUACUGGGCGUAAAGGGCGCGUAGGCGGCGCAACAAGUCACUUGUGAAAUCUCCGGGCUUAACCCGGAGCGGCCAAGUGAUACUGUCGUGCUAGAGUGCGGAAGGGGCUACUGGAAUUCUCGGUGUAGCGGUGAAAUGCGUAGAUAUCGAGAGGAACACCUGCGGCGAAGGCGGGUAGCUGGGCCGACACUGACGCUGAGGCGCGAAAGCCAGGGGAGCGAACGGG
rnacentral:rRNA from 1 species